UCUCUGUGUGUCCGUCCACGUUUGGCUGGAGCAGUCCACUCGGAACUACAACUGCAGCGGUUUAUUUGGCCAAGUGCAUCCGUUGCAUACUUACAAGUAAGUACAAGGCGCCAUAAGUGUGAAGAUUAAAAUAUUAACAACGAUUUUUUCAUGUACAGGUCAGGAUCACUUUGUGUCCGUCCACGUUCGCUGGUGCAGGUCUUUUUCACAACUGUAGCCUUUUGUUUGGACAAGUGCAGCCUUUGCAUACUUACAAGUCAGGAUCGCUUUGUGUGUCCAUCCACGCGCAAGUUGAGCCUCAUUGGUUCCAGGAUUCGCAUCUGAUCGCAGGUACAACUUUUUCCUUACCGCAAGUAACGCAAGUUCAUCGUCGUCCUCUGGAUAGUGCUUUAUAAUAAGAAAAUAAGCAAGAAAAAAUCGAUUUUAAUAUGCACUAAAACAGUGGUACAUAUGCUGGCAAAUAUGCUCGCAAAACAACAAAAUUUAGUGUUCAGUUUAAUGUUUUU